rnacentral:rRNA from 1 species
GACGUAGGGGACGAGCGUUGUCCGGAUUCAUUGGGCGUAAAGCGCGCGUAGGCGGUGUGUCGCGUCGGCCGUGAAAACCUGCAGCUUAACUGUGGGCGUGCGGUCGAUACGGGCAUCACUGGAGUUCGGCAGGGGAGACUGGAAUUCCUGGUGUAGCGGUGAAAUGCGCAGAUAUCAGGAGGAACACCGGUGGCGAAGGCGGGUCUCUGGGCCGAUACUGACGCUGGAGGAGCGAAAGCGUGGGGAGCGAACAGG